rnacentral:rRNA from 1 species
GAGUUUGAUCCUGGCUCAGAACGAACGCUGGCGGCAGGCUUAACACAUGCAAGUCGAGCGAAGACUUCGGUCUUAGCGGCGGACGGGUGAGUAACGCGUGGGAACAUGCCCUUCACUACGGAACAGUCCCGGGAAACUGGGUUUAAUACCGUAUACGCCCUUUGGGGGAAAGAUUUAUCGGUGAAGGAUUGGCCCGCGUUAGAUUAGGUAGUUGGUGGGGUAAUGGCCUACCAAGCCGACGAUCUAUAGCUGGUUUGAGAGGAUGAUCAGCCACACUGGGACUGAGACACGGCCCAGACUCCUAUGGGAGGCAGCAGUGGGGAAUCUUAGACAAUGGGGGCAACCCUGAUCUAGCCAUGCCGCGUGAGUGAUGAAGGCCUUAGGGUCGUAAAGCUCUUUCGCCAGGGAUGAUAAUGACAGUACCUGGUAAAGAAACCCCGGCUAACUCCGUGCCAGCAGCCGCGGUAAUACGGAGGGGGUUAGCGUUGUUCGGAAUUACUGGGCGUAAAGCGUACGUAGGCGGACUAUUAAGUGAGAGGUGAAAUCCCAGGGCUCAACCCUGGAACUGCCUUUCAUACUGGUAGUCUUGAGUUCGAGAGAGGUGAGUGGAAUUCCGAGUGUAGAGGUGAAAUUCGUAGAUAUUCGGAGGAACACCAGUGGCGAAGGCGGCUCACUGGCUCGAUACUGACGCUGAGGUACGAAAGUGUGGGGAGCAAACAGGAUUAGAUACCCUGGUAGUCCACACCGUAAACGAUGAAUGCCAGACGUCGGGUAGCAUGCUACUCGGUGUCACACCUAACGGAUUAAGCAUUCCGCCUGGGGAGUACGGUCGCAAGAUUAAAACUCAAAGGAAUUGACGGGGGCCCGCACAAGCGGUGGAGCAUGUGGGUUUAAUUCGAAGCAACGCGCAGAACCUUACCAACCCUUGACAUGGAUAUCGCGGGUUACCGGAGACGGUUUCCUUCAGUUCGGCUGGAUUAUCACACAGUG